UUGAACGCUGGCGGCAGGCCUAACACAUGCAAGUCGAGCGGAUGAAGGGAGCUUGCUCCUGGAUUCAGCGGCGGACGGGUGAGUAAUGCCUAGGAAUCUGCCUGGUAGUGGGGGAUAACGUCCGGAAACGGGCGCUAAUACCGCAUACGUCCUGAGGGAGAAAGUGGGGGAUCUUCGGACCUCACGCUAUCAGAUGAGCCUAGGUCAGAUUAGCUAGUUGGUGGGGUAAAGGCCUACCAAGGCGACGAUCCGUAACUGGUCUGAGAGGAUGAUCAGUCACACUGGAACUGAGACACGGUCCAGACUCCUACGGGAGGCAGCAGUGGGGAAUAUUGGACAAUGGGCGAAAGCCUGAUCCAGCCAUGCCGCGUGUGUGAAGAAGGUCUUCGGAUUGUAAAGCACUUUAAGUUGGGAGGAAGGGCAGUAAGUUAAUACCUUGCUGUUUUGACGUUACCAACAGAAUAAGCACCGGCUAACUUCGUG
rnacentral:rRNA from 1 species